UGUAUUUUAGUAUAUUAUAGUACUUAAAAAUUUGAAUUUUAAAGAAUAAAUACAA
rnacentral:tRNA from 1 species